rnacentral:rRNA from 1 species
UACGAAGGGGGCUAGCGUUGCUCGGAAUGACUGGGCGUAAAGGGCGCGUAGGCGGAUGGUACAGUCAGAUGUGAAAUUCCUGGGCUUAACCUGGGGGCUGCAUUUGAUACGUGUUGUCUAGAGUGAGGAAGAGGGUCGUGGAAUUCCCAGUGUAGAGGUGAAAUUCGUAGAUAUUGGGAAGAACACCGGUGGCGAGGGCGGCGACCUGGUCCUUUACUGACGCUGAGGCGCGAAAGCGUGGGGAGCAAACAGG